AAAAAACUUAAAUUACUUACCACUUGACCAUUUUGAUCGUAUGAAUAUACCAAGUAGGAGAUUUCCAUUUUUCAAUGCCAAAAGGCUGGGUGAUUACUGAUUAGAUGAUCAUUAAUUUGUGACUUUCAACCAUGAAUACUUUGGUGGGACCUUAGAUCCGCAUCGGGGGGUGCAGAUCUCUAGCACUAAGCCUAUAUUUUCAAAUGGAGACAAUAAUAAUAAUUAAUAGGUUAG
rnacentral:misc_RNA from 1 species